ACCUGCGGAGGGAUCAUUACCGAGUUUACAACUCCCAAACCCCUGUGAACAUACCACUUGUUGCCUCGGCGGAUCAGCCCGCUCCCGGUAAAACGGGACGGCCCGCCAGAGGACCCCUAAACUCUGUUUCUAUAUGUAACUUCUGAGUAAAACCAUAAAUAAAUCAAAACUUUCAACAACGGAUCUCUUGGUUCUGGCAUCGAUGAAGAACGCAGCAAAAUGCGAUAAGUAAUGUGAAUUGCAGAAUUCAGUGAAUCAUCGAAUCUUUGAACGCACAUUGCGCCCGCCAGUAUUCUGGCGGGCAUGCCUGUUCGAGCGUCAUUUCAACCCUCAAGCACAGCUUGGUGUUGGGACUCGCGUUAAUUCGCGUUCCUCAAAUUGAUUGGCGGUCACGUCGAGCUUCCAUAGCGUAGUAGUAAAACCCUCGUUACUGGUAAUCGUCGCGGCCACGCCGUUAAACCCCAACUUCUGAAUGUGA
rnacentral:rRNA from 1 species